UGCGCCUCUGGAGGUGGGAGGUGGGAUC
rnacentral:piRNA from 1 species